CACAGUGACACACUCUUAAUGUAAAAUGUGCAUUACAGAAAUAGCCUUUUUUGAUUUUUUUCAAACAUCCAGUCAAUUAUUUGACGUCGUCAUGAUAUUUAAAAUAUCUACGUACGACAGUGUUUAUGUAUGUCGAGGAUAGUCACCGUCUGAACGACAUAGUCGACAUUAAAGAAUCAAAUGCACGCCUGAAUUGAAUUGAAACCGAUUAAAGCGUCUGUUGAUUAACAGCUGGGCAGCAGUCAUGAUUAUAAUAAAAAAAUUUCACUUGGCAGAGAGUUUGAAAAUUCUUGUAUCUACCAGCAAGCAAAGUUCAGAAAGGUGUUAUGAAGAUAAAGUAUAUACCUACGUAUCCAAUACCAGAUCUACAUAAACUCAGUGAACAAAGAGGGUGAGUCUAUGUUUAAAUCCACCUUCAUCGACAUUUAUGACAAAAUUUUGCACUUUGUGUAAAAGAUAAACUCAUAGACAACAGUAUUCAGAAUGUGACAAAUCAAACAAUGCUUCACAUUGGUGAAGUUUAGCAAAAUGCUUAAAAUAAAAAGCCCAAAGUCCUCAGAAGGAUAAGAAAAUGCUGUAACCCAGACAAAUAACAUCAAACAUUACCUCAUAUUAAAGAUAAACAUAACAUGAUGUAGUCAUUGUUUUAAGCAUUAUUGAUGCUUAUUUGAUUUUUCCAAAUGAUUAUAUAAACAAAGAUAUUCUGUGGUACUGAUGUCAUAAAGGUGAAGGGCAAAGUUGUAUGAUUAAAUUGCUCCAUGGGAAAUUUAGGGGAUCAGAGAUUUCCCAUUACGUGUGGUUUGUCCAGAUACAAUUCAUGGUAUACACAAUUCACUGGCAUUAUAAGUUUUGCCUGAAAUAUUUUCAUGCUUAGAUUUCAGUGAAUUACUUUAAUUAAUUUUCAAUUCAGUCAAUGAACAAUUUCGAAGUUGUAAACAAGGCGAAUGUGGAUUGUAGGUGGCAAUUACAAAAGGUGUUUGGCAAUUAGCGGGUAAAGAUAGGAAUCUUCAAAACUUCUUCAAGUGAAUAAUUUCUUUUCAUAACUUGUCCCCAGCUGUUAAUCAAUGGACUGACUAACAACUUUAUCGUUAUACAAAAGAAUAACACCUGCUAAUUUAAUUAUAACUCUUUUGGCCAUUUUAAAUCAUGCUAAAAAUCUCAGAAUGUUGGCAUCUAGCUCAGCGCCAUACACGAUUCACUAGACUUACAUCUACACAAAUAUAUUUACCUCAUUAAUGGAUGGUUUUCGUUCAACGUUGAACGAAUGGUCUAGAGCUGAGAUAAUGGCGCCAUUAAAAUUCCACUUUAACUAAUAAUCACCAAAUCACUUUGUAACAAAGUACAAAUACUUACCUGAAGUAAUGUCCUUGGUGCAGUCUGUGAAAUUACUGGGGAUUCGCUAAUUGUCUGAAUUUUGUCAGCUGAACAACUCUUCUUUAACUUUCUUAAGUAUGGCAAUAUGGCAAGCCAAAUCGGACAAGUUUAUCGAGUUUUACACGCAAUGGUUGAGUUUUAUAUACUAUAGUUCAAAAAAAUAUAUGAUACUCGAGAAUAACACUAUUUGGUAGUCGACAUAAGUUAACAACGCCCGAGACCUGUAAGCGAUAUGAGAUUUUAUCAAUGAACUCUACAACAACUAGAAGGCUAACUCAAUAUACACGUGCCAAGUCUUGUCUUAAGCCACUUACAACCUGAUUUGCUGCCGCUUCGCGGGUAUCUCGCGUGGACUGUUUUAUUUGCGUGACGAAUUGUUUUGCAAAAACUGCUAACUUGGAAAUAGGCAACCCAGUCUCUUCCUUGAAUUAACUCUAUACGCUAAUUGUGUAAAUACCCUCAAAUUGACUCUAUAAGUAAUUUGAAACGCCGUUCAAACAACAGGCCUGGUGACUUGCCUGCCUGGUCGCAACCACGCAACCCAUCAUUUACCGCAAUCUACUAUCCCGCGAAGUUUUGGAUAUCCUCAAUCGUUUAUUGUAAAGUGUAUGCUCUUCUGAUUGAAUUUUUUUUUAAAAUUCAAUUUAAACUUUAAUAUUAAGUUGCGUGGUUCGCAUUAUUGCUGAAAUGGAAGAAAACAAUGGUAGUGGUUUUGAUGUACUAGAAUUAGAUGAUACAGAAUAUGUUGAUGUAUCUUCCAAAAA